GUGGACACAUAGGCAGCUUUCCACCUAUGUAGCCCAGAAAAGAUUAUUACCAUAGUUUUCUCUGCACAGCAUUAUUUAAUGCAUCGAGUACACCAAUGAAAUAUGAAGUAUGUAGGCAUAUUGUGCACAACCUACAACUGAGGGGUCAUUAGCUGCUUUAUACCAAGGAAAAGAGCAAGAAAGGAAACAGUCCUUGAAUAAACCUAUAGCAAUGAACUCUAAUAGACUGCGAUCUGGCUUAAUACCUUCUCUCCUGCCAGACUUGUAUUCCUGGAGAUGUUUUAGAGCUGGAAUUCACUGACCUUUGUACAAGUGACACAGAUCUAGCUUUCUGUUCUUUCCCAUCCUGGACACUGUCAUUGUUCUCUGUGCUCCAGCAGA
rnacentral:lncRNA from 1 species